rnacentral:rRNA from 1 species
AAUGAACAUUGGCGGCGUGGAUUAGGCAUGCAAGUCGAGCGAGAAGCUUCUCUUCGGAGAAGUGGAAAGCGGCGAACUGCGUAGUAAUAGAUAGGUGACGUGCCCUAAGAUCUGGGAUAGCCACGGGAAACUGUGGGUAAUACCGGAUAAUCUCUCAGAGCGUUGUGGCUUUGGGAGCAAAGGUGAGAUUCCGUCUUAGGAGCGGCUUAUUGAGUAUUAGCUUGUUGGUGGGGUAACGGCCUACCAAGGCGACGAUGCUUAGGGGGUGUUAGCGCAUGGCCCCACGACUGGGACUGAGAACUGCCCAGACACCUACGGGUGGCUGCAGUCGAGAAUCUUCGGCAAUGGACGAAAGUCUGACCGAGCGACGCCGCGUGCGGGAUGAAGGCCCUUGGGUUGUAAACCGCUGUCAGAGGGGAUGAAAUUCUUGAAGGCAAUCCUUCUUGAUUGACAGAGCCUCAGAGGAAGCACGGGCUAAGUACGUG